AUCCCAUAAACCGUGGCUCAGUUCAGAUCGUAGGCUGCAACUCGCCUACGUGAAGUAGGAAUCGCUAGUAAUCGCAGGUCAGCAUACUGCGGUGAAUACGUUCCCGGGCCUUGUACACACCGCCCGUCACACCAUGGAAGUUGGCCAUGCCCGAAGUCGUUACUCCAACCCUUGUGGAGGAGGACGCCGAAGGUGGGGCUAAUGACUGGAGUGAAGUCGUAACAAGGUAUCCGUACCGGAAGGUGCGGAUGGAUCACCUCCUAA
rnacentral:rRNA from 1 species